GAUGAACGCUAGCUACAGGCUUAACACAUGCAAGUCGAGGGCAGCAUGAACUUAGCUUGCUAAGUUUGAUGGCGACCGGCGCACGGGUGAGUAACACGUAUCCAACCUGCCGAUGACUCGGGGAUAGCCUUUCGAAAGAAAGAUUAAUACCCGAUGGCAUAGUUCUUCCGCAUGGUAGAACUAUUAAAGAAUUUCGGUCAUCGAUGGGGAUGCGUUCCAUUAGGUUGUUGGCGGGGUAACGGCCCACCAAGCCUUCGAUGGAUAGGGGUUCUGAGAGGAAGGUCCCCCACAUUGGAACUGAGACACGGUCCAAACUCCUACGGGAGGCAGCAGUGAGGAAUAUUGGUCAAUGGACGAGAGUCUGAACCAGCCAAAGUAGCGUGAAGGAUGACUGCCCUAUGGGUUGUAAAACUUCUUUUUAUAAGGGGAAUAAACCCCUCCACGUGUGGGAGCUUGUAUGUACCUUAUGAAUAAGCAUCGGCUAAACUCCGUGC
rnacentral:rRNA from 1 species